rnacentral:ncRNA from 2 species
UGCUCAUCCAAAGGGGUGGAGGGAACGGCCCGAUGAAGCCCCGGCAACCACGCAUCAGUGCCCCAUGUGGGAGUUGUGCAUUGAUCCGAACGGUGCUUACUCGGUCAACGCAAGCUGGAAUGAUGAGGU